AAACCUUCAGGUUCAUACGGGUUUUAGGGAAGGUAUAGGUUCAACCCAUCGGGGCAUCUUAGAAACAUUUACCUCAACCUUCAAGAGUAAAUACCACCAGCUCGAAAGCAGAGCAUGGUUGGCCAAAUUAAAGAAUAGGAUUCACCAAUGGCAUUAUGUAUCAAGGAAAGAACUUCUCGAUGUUUUUUUAUAUGAAGGACACUGUCGGAUGAUAAUUUAACAAAGAAUCAGACGGUCCAUAAUGGAGCUGAUGUGAGCAUCGGCACACAACCAGAGGAAGAAACAAUGCAAAGGCAUUGGAUCAUCGAAUCAACUGCCUAAUUCAAAGCCCAACCGCAAAGGAACUAUGAUUUCCAAUUCAAGGGAUCAUAAGCAAACGCGCUGAUUAAGGGUGGAUAAGUUGAGUAGGUUUUUUUGGGGUACAAUCGAUGGCAAUUCGAUUGGUCGAGGUCCAGCUCAUCUUUAAAAUGAUGUCUGAGACAGAAGGAUGAAUUCUAGGAUUUGAUUGAGGAUUGUGAGCAUUCGCGACAUUUUGAAUCAACGGACUCAAAAUGAUAAUGACAAGGGAUGCCAAUAAGAUUACGAGACUUAUGGGAUUAACCAUAAUGCAGGCAAGCAAGAAUUUCAAGAGCAAUAGGCUGCUGAGGAUUUUUGAAAGAUCGAAUGGUAUUUCGAAGACUUUUUGAAACAUACGGACAACUAGGGAUGGGCGGAUACUCAGGAAGUGCGAGGAAUUAUCCAUAGGGGUAUUCAUGUGGCAAAGAACUGCAAGGCAGUAGGCACAAGAUAUUCUCGGGUCAAUAGAGAGAAUUUCGGGGUAUCUUGUAAUAACAAGAUCAGUUGGGGAUAAAAUCAAGAACGACAGGUGUAAGCAUUUAUCCAUAAGGAUAUUUUGGUGGUAGGGAAUUGCAAAAGCAACGGACACAAGGUCUCGAGAGAAUAUCGGAGAGUAUCUUCGAAAUCUUCUGGUGCAGCCGGCGAUCAUCUGGACUGAAGGGGCUCUCCGGUAGAAAGUAGUUUCGAGAACCUAAAGUUAGAUUUUAGUAAAUUCAUUAAACCCGAAUAGGAGAGAGAUCAGAGUCCCAGAGCAAAGAUCGAGGAGUAAAAGAUCCUAAUACCACCCAAAUGGCGACAUGGGCCCAUGGGCCGCGCAGCCAUGUUAGUAAAACAGUUUUAAUCGACUAGACUCAACUUCGGCCAAGGAGUUGGAAAGGGGGAUUCCUACAGGCAGUCGGCUCUGAUACCAACUUGUGACGCCCCCGAUUUGACCGUACACUAAUCAUACACGCAAAUGUGUACGAUCAAGAUCAGGGACUCACGGGAAGAUAUCACAACACAACUCUAAAAGUAAAAUAAGUCAUACAAGCAUCAUAAUACAAGCCAGGGGCCUCGAGGACUCUAGCUAGUCCUCUCGAAGACUACACUUCAGGCCACUCCCAUCUUGCAGCAUGUAGAAGAGAGUAGAUGGUAAGUUCACCAAGUAGCGUCGCAUAGCAUAAAUCCUAUCCGGCGAUCCCCUCCUCGUCGCCCUGUUAGAGAGCGACCACCGGGUUGUAUCUGGCACUUGGAAGGGUGUGUUUUAUUAAGUAUCCGGUUCUAGUUGUCAUAAGGUCAAAGUACAACUCCAAGUCGUCAUGUUACCGAAGAUCACGGCUAUUCGAAUAGAUAAACUUCCCUGCAAGGGUGCACCACAUCACCCAACACGCUCGAUCACAUUUGGCCGGACACAUUUUCAUGGGUCAUGCCCGCCCUCGGAAGAUCAACAUAUCGCAGCCCUACCUAGGCACAACAGAGAGGUCAGCACGCCGGUCUAAAUCCUAUGGCGCAGGGGUCUGGGCCCAUCGCCCAUUGCACACCUGCAUGUUGCGAAGGCGGCCGGAAGCAGACCUAGCAACCUCCAUUAGAAAGGAAGUCACGUUACGCGGUCCAAUCUGGCGCACGCCGCUCAGUCGCUGACGUCACGAAGGCUUCGGCUGAUACCACGACGUCGAGUGCCCAUAUCUUUCCCACAUAGUUGGUUAGUGCGUAUAGACCAAAUGGCCAGACCCAGAUCAAAUACCAAGAUCUUGUUAAGCGUGUUAUUUUGAAGUAUCCGCGAAUGCCGACCAGGGCCAGGCCCACCUCUCUCCUAGGUGGUCUCAACCUGCCCUGUCGCUCCGCCACAAAGUAACAGUCGGGGGCCGUCGGGAACCCUGGCCCACCUCUACCGGGAUGGAGCCACAUGCCCCUUCAUCCCCCAUCUCCGAACAGUAUCAUAAGUAAUGUAACAGUAACAAGUAUAUAGCAUAUGCCCGUGAUCACCUCCCGAAGUGAUCACGGCCCAGUAGUAUAGCAUGGCAGACGGACAAGAGUGUAGGGCCACCGAUGGAAUACUAGCAUCCUAUACUAAGCAUUUAGGAUUGCAGGUAAGGUUAACAACUGUAGCAACAAUGACUGGCUAUGCAGCAGAAUAGGAUUAAUGGAAAGCAGUAACAUGCUACACUACUCUAAUGCAAGCAGUAUAGAGAAGAAUAGGCGAUAUCUGGUGAUCAAGGGGGGGGCUUGCCUGGUUGCUCUGGCAAGAAGGAAUGGUCGUCAACACCGUAGUCGAACUGGGGGUCGCCGGCAGCCUCGGGGUCUACCCGAAAGAACUAACGAAGGGGAACAUAAUAAAUAACAGAGCAAUCAAAGCAUCACAAAGCAUGACAUGGCAAUACGUGGUGCUAGAGGUGACCUAACGCAGUACUAGGUGAUACCGGGAAAGGGUGGAAACAUCCGGGAAAGUAUUCCCGGUGUUUGACGUUUUCGGACAGACGAAUCGGAGGGGUAUUGUUGCACGUUCGCUAUGCUGGGGAUAUGUGGCGGACGAACGGACUGCGUAUCCGGAUUCGUCUCGUUGUUCUGAGCAACUUUCAUGUACAAAGUAUUUUCAUCCGAGCUACGGUUUAUUUUUUAUGAUUUAUCUAAGUUUUAGGCCAUUUUGAAAUUUAUUUAAUUAUUUAAAUCAAACAUUAUCGGGAACAGUGAAAGGUGAUGUCAGCAUGACAUCACCAUGACAUCAGCAGGUCAAACCCAGCUGACUAGAGUCAAAGCUGGACUGUGGGUCCAGUGGGACCCACCUGUCAUAGACUAACAUGUUAAUUAGGGUUUAAUUAAGCAAGAUUAAAUAAGUUUAAUUAAUUGAUUAGGUUAAUUAAACACAAUUAAUUAAGUUAAUUAAUUAAUACUUGUAUUUAUUAUUAUUUUUAAUUCUUUUUAAAUCUUUUUUAAAUGUUCUAGGGGCUUGGCCACAUGUCAUUGGGCCAAGGGGACCAUAGUGGGUUCGGUGUUAGCGGGCGCCUGGAGCGGGCGUUGGGCACCUGCCCAGGUCGACAGGGACGGAACGGCGCUGGGCGCCGGCUGCCACAGCGACGAGCGACAGGAGCGGCACAGGGGGCCAAGGCUGCGCGUCGGCGGGCCGCGACAAGGCCGCCACAGGACAGAAACGGCAGCGGGCGGCGCGUGCGCGCGCGCUUACGGCGGGGAGCAGCAGCAGGCAGAGCAUCGCCGGUGGGCGCGGUCGUGGGUGCGUUCAGGGGCGUCGGGGCACACACUCUUCAUGAGCGCGGGUGCGGGGAGCGCAUCGGGCGAGCGCAUGGCGGCGCGGUGGGGUGUCGGGGGCGCGCGAGGCAGGGUAUCGGCGACGCAGGCUGGGCACUGUCACGGUCGCGGUGACCGAGCCCACUGGCCGGAGACUGGACGGCGCGUAUGGCGGCCUACGGUGGUGAAUCGAGGAGGGGGAGAGGGGGAGUAGCCUCGGGAGCUCACCCCGGAGCUGUUGGUGUGCUCAGACGCGUCGGGGGCGACCAGAGUGUGCAGAUCGAGCGGCGACGCAGGCGACGUGGUCGGAGGGGAUGGAUCGAGGGCGACGGCUCCGAAGCGCUCCGCCUUGACCUGGUUCACGCCGACGACGUAGACGAGGUGGGGUGGCGCCUGGACUUGAGGGGCGGCGGGGCUUGUUGGCGCCCGGCGAGGAGGAGACGAGGAGGCGUCAGCGGAGAUGGGCGGCAACGGCGUCGGGGGUGCCAGAGGCGCGACCCAGAUCUGAUCUAGGAGGUGGAGGCGUCGAGGAAGAAGCGGUCUGGUGCGGGCGGUCUAGGACGGGGAGGUCGAGGUGGAGAGCGAUGGUGGCGGCUCCGGCGACGCAGUCUCGGGCGGCGGCAUUGGGGUCAAUUCCCCCAAACCAAUCGGGGGCCGAGGAGGGGGAGAUGGAUCGUGGUGGGGGGCAAGUGGGGGAGUGCGCUAGGGUCUGGGUGGGGAAGUGGGGUUAUCCAGCCAGGUUGGGCCGGCAGGGCCGCGUGGGUGGCCAACUGAGCCUGUUGGCCCAGUUGUUUGUUUUGUUUUUCUUUUAUUCUAUUUGUUUUCUUUUUAUUUAUUUUCUUUUAUUGUUUUAUUUAUUUUAGAGCGUAUUAGCAUUUUCUAAACAUGUGUUUCCUUCACUACAAUUACCUGUGCAAUAUUCGGCACAAACCGAACAUUUUUGUUCUAAUGUUUGAAAUUUUUUGAUGUUUGACAAAAAUUCAAAGUUGCAUUUGAACAGUUUUGAUCCAACGCGAGAUUAGCAACAAUAACCGAGGUGACGUGGCAUCGUUAACGUGGGAUUACUAUAGCCUAAAUAUCUGGGCGUCACAUUAGCUCACCCUCGCGAGAUCGCGACCCUUUGUCCCGCCCAUAGUAGCACGUGUGUCGCCCAGGGCAUAAGGGGCAUGAUGACUUGGCCUCAUCCUCUCCUUCCUCCGGCAUAACACCGGCGGUCUGUUCAGGGUUCCAAACUCAUAGUGGCAACAAAACACGAGGGUUGCGCUCAUUGCGAGACUUAACCCAACACCUUACGGCACGAGCUGACGACAGCCAUGCACCACCUGUGUCCGUGUUCCCGAGGGCACCCCUCUCUUUCAAGAGGAUUUGCGGCAUGUCAAACCCUGGUAAGGUUCUUCGCUUUGCAUUGAAUUAAACCACAUGCUCCACCGCUUGUGCGGGCCCCCGUCAAUUCCUUUGAGUUUCAUUCUUGCGAACGUACUCCCCAGGCGGGAUACUUAACGCGUUAGCUAUAGCACUGCACGGGUCGAGUCGCACAGCACCUAGUAUCCAUCUCUAACAUCCCAAAAUUCUAAAAUUUGGAAUGUUAUAUUAAAUAAAUAUUUGUGUUUGUUUGUUUGAUUGAAUGGUUGAUUGAUUGACUGAAAGUGAGUGAAAUUUGAAACCUUUUGAAAGUUGAACGAGAGGGAAUAAAAGGACUUUCCCAAAACUUUCAUCUUUGCAUUAUGAUCUUCAUGAAUUCAAAUUCAUUUCAUCACAAAACCCAAGAGUGAGGAUAAUAUAACUUCUUUCAUUUCAAAAAAUGAAAAGGGUUUUGAAAAGACUUGAAAAUUUUGACAUAUUUCAAAUUCCGAAGCUUUAUGCAACUCAAUGAUUUUCAUGAGAGAAGAUAAAAUGACUUCUUCAAAUUAUAUGAAAUAGAGUUGGAAGUGGUUUGAAAUUCAAAUUCAAAACCAUUUAGGAGUUAUUUGGGUUUUAUUCAAAUAAUUUUUUUCCAAAAAUAAAUUAUUUGGAAAUUAGGGUAAAAUGAUUCCCUACAAUAUAAAAUUGGAGGAAAGUAAAUUUGAAAUCAUUCUGGUGUUUUAAAAAUGAUUUUUAUUGGGUUUUCUUUCAACAACAGCAUUGUUUGACUUUUGUGAAUUUUUGUGUACUUUAUUUGUACAUGAAAAUAUGUUCAUGUUUUAGGAUUUAUUUUUAUGAAAAUUUUGGUAUAUAAUAUGUCUAUAUAAAAGUCUUAUUGUUUUCCCUUUAUUUUCUUGUCUGUGCUUAUUUCAAAAAAAAGGCCGAAGCCAGCAGUGCCCAGCCCGAGGCCCAUCUCUCUCUCCCUCCGCCGCGGCCCACAGCGGUCCAGCCCGCGCACGCGCCCGGAACCCCUCCCCACUGGUCGCCCACACCUCUCCCUGUUCCCGCACUCGCUGAUAGCGGGGCCCGCGUCGUCUUCUUCCUCCGCAAGCCCCGCUCGAGCCACAUCGCACCGGCCGCGCCGCCGAAUCCCGUGAUCCUCGGGAUCCUCUCCCCGACUCACCCCCUCCUCCAAAAAUUGCUCCCCCUAUAUAUACUCUCCCCCUCGACCUGUUCCCCUCCUUUCCUCGCACCAAUAACCGCCGCCUGCUCCUCAACUUCUCGCCAGAGCCGAAGCCGCCGCCGCACCAUUGCCACCCCACCGAGCUACUCCGACCCCCUCGCCGCCUCCCGAGACCAUCUCUGCACUCCCCUCGCUCGUCCGCCCUUCCCGUGCCCUCGCCCGAGCCCUAAACCCACUGGAGCGCCGCCAGCCGACGACCACCGUACGCCCUCGCCGCCACGAGCUCACCGCCGCCCGUCUCCGUCGUCCCCGAGCGCACUGGCGACCAUCGUUGGAACUGCCUUCGACCGCUGCAUCCCCUUGUCUCCUCCGCCGACCCCGCCGACGACCGGAGCGACGCCGCCGACGACGUCUGAGCCGCAUCGCCGGCGACCACCCCUCUGUAAGCCGGCCAACUCCCCACCUUCGUUUGAUCUUAUUUCAACGCUCUAGAUUAGAUCUAUCGAAUAGUAUGGUUUUUUUAUAUAGAUCGGUUUAGUACGGUUUAUUAUCUGUUUAGAUCGAACCGUCUCUCCGGUUUCUUUUUAUUAAACGCGCAUGCACGGUUUUGUUAAGUAUCGCCCAAGCGCAGUAUAGUUGCAGAUCGCACAUCCUCUAGGCCCAGUAGCAGCCCGACGCGUAGCACCUGUCCGAUCUGUUGUUUUUAGUUUUUUUUUCUGUUUUUAAAAACAGAAAAGUUCCAAUCUUGAAAAAUUUAUAUCGCUUAGGUUAUUUAGAGUUUUUGAUUGAUUAUUUUUGCUCUAGUCUGCAAAUUUCAGAAAGUUUCUGUAUAAAAUAAUUUCGGCCAUGUUUUAGUUUUUAAAAAUUGUUUUAUUUUGGUUUUAGUCAGAUUAGUGUUUCUUUUCGCCACGACUUUGUUUUGACCUUACCUGUCAGUAGAAUCAAUUUGGGUGUUUAUAGAUUUUAUUAAAAUUAGUUUUUCAUGAAAACAACACUGCGCUAGUUAUUUUUAACCUGCUGUUUUCUGUUGUUUUGAUUAUUUUAAAAUUUAUUUUCACCUCUGUUAAAUUUUAUUUCAGAUUUGUUUCUUUAGUUAUAGAGGGUGAACUUUUAUUUAUAGAAAAUAAAAUGUUUUAUUUCUUUUUCUUACUAGUUUUGUUUUAAGCAUAAUUAGAGUUUUAAUUUAGCUUUUUAUGUGUUUCCUUUUGCUAGUAAAACUUUAUGAAAAAUACUUUCUGUUAACUUAGUUGAUUUAAAUUUUAUUUUCUGUUAAAAUUAUUAGUUUAGUAUUUUCUUUAUAAGUUUUACUUAGGACAAAACUAUUUUUGUAGUUAAGGCAAAAGGUUUUUCCCAGUAGGUUCUUUAUAGUUUUCCCCUAUUAGUUCUUUCGAUGUGUUAUUUGCUUUGUAUUGGGUUUUCUUAUUGAGUUUUUUAAUUGUUAGAUGUGCUUGCUAGAAUGCUUGCUUAUGUGAAUGUCAUGUUUGUUAUUAUAGAUUUCAUCGGAGAGUUGCGUAUAGUCCUAUCAAGUUAUUUUCGAGAGCGUUCUUAUCUUCAUCAACUUACCAGGCAAAUUCACUUUGACCAUGUUUUUCAUACCUAUGUUUUAUUUGCAUGUAGUGGCACCCUUUCAACAAUCCUCCCAAUAGUGUUAUAGAAUCUUGUAGUUGAGUAGAAUGCAUGAGGUAGGAAUCCAUCUUUCUGUUAUCAAGCCCGGGACGUUAGUUUCAAUGUUACGCUAUAGUAGAUGGGUUUUGGUAUGAGUGCACGAGAGUGGUGUGAAGAAGGAGGACUCUACGUCAAUGGCGACAACUUCAUGAUGGCAUCGGCAAGGACUGCAUCUUCAGGACUCCAAGACCUCAAGAUUUCAAGACUCGAGACAAGAAUUCAAUACACACUACUAGGUGAAGGACGGUUGACGGGCACCCUGGAGAAACCAGUGGAUGGCCGGGAUGCAUGGAGAAGCGCCAUGACAUCUUGCGGAAAGCUUCACCCAGACUAAAAGAGACGGGAGAAUACUUCAUGCCCGGAAGCUUACCUGUGCAACCGCAAGUCACUAUGGGCUCUGGCUUGGUUGGCCUUAGUGGUGACUCUGGCUGGGACGGUGCUUGCAGAUGUAGAACUACGGUAGGAUUGGAUGAGCACCGGACAGUGGUCAGGGGAACUCUUUAGAAGACCAUGUUUCGGUCGUCUUGUUCUCAAACACCCUGAAGUGCGAGAAUGUAAAAAGAGGGAUCGAAUCUUGCGGGUAAAGUGUACAAACCUCUGCAGAGGGUUUAAACCUAAUCGAUUAGCCGUGUCCCCGGUUACGGACAAUUUGAGCCUCUAGACUUGGAUCUAUCUCGGAACUCCCAACACCGGACUGAUAACAUAAUUGUGGGCAACAUAUGAUGAUUUUGGGCUAUGAGACAUCGGUUGGUGGAACCAUGUCAUGAUAGAAAACUCUGUAGCACAGACUCCUGAUAUUCCUUUGUUAUAGGAAAAUACCAGCUUUUACGCAAACAAAACUCAGAUACAGAGCCACAAAGCCAUAUUGCAUAUAGUAUAGUUUAUCAUCUAUUUUUAUUACAGUGAUCUUGCCGGUACAUUCAAUGUACUGACCUACACGGCCGCAACGUAUCAUGUUGUAGGAUUAUUUCUACGACGAGUGAGUUUCAUUGAUUGGGUUACGGUCUACACUCAACCUGCCGAUGGCAUUGAUGGGACUCCACACCCGAUUGUUUGUUUCCGCUGAGACUUAUGAGGUAUAUAUCAGUUUUACGUUAUUUAUACAUGUGAUUGCACUUUGAUAUAUACAUUGAUGUACUGUGUGUGCCAGCAUACCGAUCCAGGGAUGGCACAGAUACACAGAGGCUUGACCGUUUGAGGUCGGGUCGCUACAGAGAUGGUAUCAGAGCACAUGUUGACUGUAGGACGUGACCCUAGAAACUGGAAAGCCCUAGGAUAGGAUAUCUCUAAAACUUUAUUUUCGAAAAGACUCUUACUUCUCGUCUUUUCUGAUUUUUUUUCAAGUAGUCCCUCUUACCUCCAAUAGCCGGAGUAUACCCUUUUCCCUUUUGACCACACGGAGGAUCAACUGAUGUCACUCCAAGAAGUGCAAGAUAUCGGACAAAUGAUGACCAACUCAGAGUAAAGAGGAUUACACUAUAUAUUUCGGAGGAAAGAAGCUACAACAGUUGAAGACUCUGAAGGCUUGAAGAAUUCAGAGACUCUGAAGAUUGAUUUGACCUUUAGAAGACCAAACCCCUGUUAUAUAUACUUCUGUUAGAUACGACGAUUUGUGAGCUGUCAUUUGUAUGAUGUUUUGCCGACAGCCACAAAUAAAACCUAUUUUCAAAACUAUUGUUUGUAUUGUGUGUAUAUCGCUCUAUUCUUCUCUCUUAUCUCACCCUAAAACACUUGGACCCAAUAGAUGAUGAAUGAAGAAGGACUGGUAUUCUCUUGACCGAUGACUCAGUUGGAGGCAGAGCUAUGGAUUCAAAACAUGGAGGGUCACUUCAGGAAAAAUUUGAUUGCAAGGAAGUAUGAGGUUCAAUAUGCUCUUCGGUACUUUAUAGAAUGUGCUGCAACCUGGUGGAAAAUGCAUCAUGCCAUACAAGGAUGUAACGGAGCAAGAACUUGGGAGGAAUUCAAGAAGACUUUGUUAAGAUCCCGUCUCAUCCGGAAGCACUGGGAUAACCCGAUGAAGAAACCUUGUGCCUGCAAGAUUUGCGGAGAAAUAGGACACACCAAUGAAGAACACAAGGAUGGAUGCCCUCAUUGUGACGGAAAUCACCCAGCUGAAGAAUGCCCAACUGGGCAGGUUACUUGUUUCUUGUGUGAAGGAACUACGCACUACCCUGCUCAAUGUCAGAUUUACCCCAAGGUACAAGAAAUUACCAAGCAGCGGAAGGAAGCCAUGAAAGAAUCCCUCAGGGAAAGUUUAGAAGAACCCGUGAUGGAGGAAGUUAUUGAAGACCCUGAUGGUGAAGGCCUAAACAGAUUUUUCGCCCAAGCCUGCUACUCAUGUGGAGAAGAUGGACAUUUUUCAGAGUAUUGCACCAAGGAAAGCCAAGAGUAUCUCAGAGACUUCCCGACAGCAGAAGUGAAGUUUGACCCUCAGCAAAUAGAAGCUUUGAUCAUUACGGAGAAAUCUAGGAAGAGAAAACGAAGGCAUCCUCGGAACAACCCAAUUUCUGCAGACAAGGACCUGAGUCAUAUAUCUUGUUACAGAUGGAAGGAUUUAGGUCAUUAUGCUAGCAAAUGCCUGUCAGGACCGGGUUUUUCGGGAUAUAUUUUCCCAGAAAAUGAUCCUUGUGCUCAUCAGCCCCCGGAUUACUGUUAGCUGAUGAGGCACCAACUUGAUACGGAAAUUCCAAGCAACGUAUAUAAUAUGUAGUACAAGACCAUUGUGGCCUAUGAGUACAACAAAUGGUUUCUAGUGGCUGAUGGCGGAAGCAGUUUGUUGUUCAUCUGCGUCUAUGGGACUCAAUUUCCCACAGGAACAGCUGACCAGGAUAACUCCUAUCUUCGCGAGGCUUCUAUCAUCAUUGCGUAGGUUCCGGGGCUGUCGUCGCAAUGCUCCUCUCCACGCAAGAAAUCUGGCUAAGACAAUAGCCAGGGACAAGCCAGUGAGUACUUUCGAAUGUACUCGCAAACAUUAUGAACACAGGUAUAAUAUGACAGAUGAUAAUUACGCUCCGAAAUAUGCCAUGAUCACUAUGUCAGUCAUGAAAUAAAAUUUAUGAUGCACGUAAGCAAGUUAUUCAUAUACGACAUGAAUGUGCAAUAAGGGAGUAGAAAUAGAAUGCACCGAUCGGGUGUCUGAAGCGACGCCUCGAAAGGAUAUUAGAUAAGUCAUGCCUCAGUCGGGCGUCUGAGCAACACCACAUAAAGGGCUUAUAAAUAAAGAAAUAAAAAGCAUGCCACAGUCGGGCGUCUAUGCGACACCACAUAAAGGGCUUAUAAAUAANNNNNNNNNNNNNNNNNNNNNNNNNNNNNNNNNNNNNNNNNNNNNNNNNNNNNNNNNNNNNNNNNNNNNNNNNNNNNNNNNNNNNNNNNNNNNNNNNNNNNNNNNNNNNNNNNNNNNNNNNNNNNNNNNNNNNNNNNNNNNNNNNNNNNNNNNNNNNNNNNNNNNNNNNNNNNNNNNNNNNNNNNNNNNNNNNNNNNNNNNNNNNNNNNNNNNNNNNNNNNNNNNNNNNNNNNNNNNNNNNNNNNNNNNNNNNNNNNNNNNNNNNNNNNNNNNNNNNNNNNNNNNNNNNNNNNAAAUAAUUUAAAUAACAAGCAUGCCACAGUCGGGCGUCUGAGCGACACCACAUAAAGGGCUUAUAAAUAAAAGCAAUAACAAGCAUGCCACAGUCGGGCGUCUGAGCGACACCACAUAGAGGGCUUAUAAGUAAUUUAAAUAACAAGCAUGCCACAGUCGGGUAUCUGAGCGACGCCACAUAAAGGGCUUAUAAGAGAAUGAUUACAGUGAAUAUCCAGGAGGUAGAACCGUCCCAGGGAUACUCGAUAAUUCAAAUAAUAUAAUGGGUUAGUCCAUAAUAAUAAUAAUCAUAAUCAUCACAAGUCACAAGUCAUGAUCCAAGUUCUGGAUUAACAGUUUUCUCCUCCGAAGACCGACACUAAGACCAACACUUGACCCAUCCCAGACUGUAGUCCUUACCCAUGGACACGGCUAUUCGAAUAGAUGUAUAAUCUCUGCAGAGGGUGUACUCUUUACCCACGGGUAACGGAUUUCUUUAGUCCAUCGGGACUAAUUCCGUCUACGGUCUUUUAAUUGAAAACACACCUAACCGCACACACCAGCCUAACUUACCGGUGUCUGGAAUCACCCACAACACGCGUUAAGCGAAACUCUAAGUGGGGAGGCUACAACCUCGACUUAGCAUGGGAUCACAAAAUUUAUACCGCGCGCAAACUACGGGAGCUACCCCUUCGGCUACAACCGAAACACCCAUGCCCCCGGACCAGGUGGCAUGCCUACCGGAUGCCUCCGGUAUCUUCCACCAUGGCCUCUCUGUACGGUGUGUGCUAGGUAAUGGGUUGACAACUUACUGAACCGUACCCUACCUAUGGCAGGGAUAAGUGGUAGUACGAAACAAGUAUGGGGGUUACUGGAACAAGACUCGAUCUACGGCCGACUCAGGAGGUUUAAGUAUUCCCUGCAUGAUUAGCAUAGUAAAUGUGUUUCAACCAACAGACAGAAUCACCACUCAUCAUACCUCAUCAUGCCAUACCGGACACAACCGUCUUGACGAGGAACUAGAGACAAGCUCGUGUCUACCCAAGAUAGAGACUUUCCCGGCUUCCUUCCGGUAGGCAUGAAAGGCAUACGAAGAUGAUUACUAUCACAAGCAUAUCCAUUUCUAACAGCAAAGAAUCUUCAUUAUGCACUCAUGCGUAUGAUUGUCUCGUCACAUAAAAUAACGAAUGCUCCAUGUCAAGGUGGUGUUGUAACUGUAUCAAACAACACACAAAAAUAUUAUGCCAGGGUUCAGAAUGCUUGCCUUCAAGUUGUGGAGAGGCAGGGUGCAUCCCAAAAACUUUUUGAAAGUUUUCUUCUCUCUCCAAAAUCCUAUUUUCAAAAAUAUUCAAAUAACACAUACUUUAAAAACAGCGCAAAAAGUUGUCCUAGAUAUUUUUCAAAUAAAUCUUAAAAUAAACCAGGUGGAAUUUGAGAGAGGUAGGAGAAAGAAUUAAUUCAUUUGGAGUUUUAUUUAAAAAGAUAUAGCUAGUCAAAGUUUCAGUCGAAAUCUGAUUUUAAAAUAAAACAGAAAAGAAAACGUUUCGGACGAAAUACGCUUUCGAGAGGGGGACACGUACUUCAGGCUUUAAGCCUCCACUUAACCCGCGCAGGCCGACCCGUGGGUCACUGACAGUGGGCCCCUUGGGUCCACUGGUCAGGUUUGACCAGUCGUCCCCGCCUUUCUCUCUUCUGGCCGAAUGGAGGCGGAGCUCCGGGGAUCGCCGUCGGCGAACGGAGGCUCCUCGCGGGAUUCUGAUGGCAGGGAUGGAUCCGCCAGACCAGGGCGGUCCUCCCGGUGGUUGCUAGGCUGGCGGGUGUGGAGGGGGUCGCCGUCGGCGAGCUCCGCGGCGGACGGUGGUUCUGCUGGAUUUGGGCUUCGAGCUAUGGUGGCUCCCGAUCGAGGCUGAGGUGCUGGGUAGCUCCGCAUGGUCGAGGGGAGGAGGAUGGGAGCACGGGAGGGGGGUUAUGGCCUCGGUCUUCGCCGGAUUUCACCGGAGUGUGCCGGCGGCUGAACCGGCCGGAGACGAGGAAGAAGGCCUCUCCCCAUCAAUUGCCGGCUAAGGGAGCCCUAGGGGGAUGGCUUGAGGUUGCCUGGGGUCUUGGAGGAGCUCGGUGUCCCUUAUAUAGGCAGUCGAGGUUGGUUCCGCGGCGGGCGGAGAUAAGAUCGGCGAACCGACGUUCUGUAGCCUGCAGGACGACGUUGCGGCGACGGGCGCUAGUGGACGAGCUCGCGGAUAAGCUUGGACUGCUCUAGAGGCGAGCUGGCGAGCGGCUGUGGCUCGGGCGGCGCCGUCCAUAGCAGGGGCCUGCCGCCGACGCCGGCGUGCCGCCAAGGGGCUCUGACGGUGGCGCUGUAGGGCGCCAGGGGGAAGCUUGGAGCGCUCUGAUGUGUGGACGAGGAGGGGCGUGGCUCUGUAGGCGAGCAAGGGCCAGGGGCGGGACGCGGUGGCUCGGGUGCACGCACGUGCAAAACGCGCGCUCUGGCCGCGCCCAGAGCACGCACGCCAGGUGCUCGACGUAAUGACAACGCGUGAUAGAGGGCUCCAAUCCACAGGGGGUUUAACAGUGUGGAGCUAUAGACUAGUGUAGAGUCCUGAGACAUGCUGGUUAGGCAAAGCAAGCAGGUUCCUAAUGCAAACUAGAAAUUAUGCCAAAUCUGGCCAUGCACUUAAAGUGCUCGACAUAAUGUUAUGGGCAUCUAGGCAUCUCUUGGGGUGGCCAUAAACUCCAGAUCCUAGUCUCUUUAGAUGAUAGAGAGGGUGGCAAUGUUAGUUGGGCAAAACCAGAAACUUGUUAGUGCAAGUUUUUGAGAAAACCAAAUCUGGGCAGAAACUGAAGGCUAUAAUUGCAUGAACCAAAAAUACUCCAAUGGGUCCACUCUCCUGGACUUAAGGGUUUUGCAGGGUGGACUAUAAGCAGGAAAAAGAAUCAUGGGCAACAGAGCAAACAAAAAUAGAGUUGCAGUAGAAAAUGCCAAACUGGACCAGAGAGCAAAAGAGGAUGAUUUGCUCAAAUUUUUCAAAGAACACUCAUGGGUUUUUGCAUAAAGUAGAAUUAUAUGCAUCUACUGACAUCUCCAAGCACUUGGAAGAGUUUUUAAAGAAAUAUUUAAAUAGGUUGUAGUGCAAAAUUAUCAACUGGACCAGAUUUGAAAAUUUGGUGUAGAGCUCAAAAUCUCCAAUGACCAAAAGAUAUUUUUGCAUAAAAGUGAUUUGGAAACAUCACAUGACAUCCCCAAAUUUUGGUUGAAAUUUUAAAGAAGUAUUUGAAAGGGUUACAGUGCAAAAGAGGCUCCAUAACUUAUGAAAAAUCAUUUUUAGAAGAAUAAAGCUCAGGAAAAAAAUUAUGCAAAUAAACCCACGGAUAAAAGAAAUGUUUUCUUGAGAGGGUAUACAAGUCCAAUAAUAUUUUUAUAGGGUUUUCACUUGGGGUAAAAACUUCACAAUAUCAAAGAAAAGAGAGGUUCUGAAAUCAAAAGAUAAAUCCAGAAAAUAAAAAUUUAAUCUCCUGGCAAAAUUUUAAUAAACAAAAUAUGGUUAAAUUUUUGGGGUGUUACAACACUACCCCCCUUAAGAAAAAUCUCGUCCUCGAGAUUUGCUAAAAGCUGUUUUGAACAAACAUUGCUCUUACAAAAAAAAUCAUCCUACUUAUGCAAUAAAAUGUAUCUACAGUGAGAGGGCAAUAAGUGGUGUAAAACUACAGUGUGGUAUAUUGGCGCUGUGUGGGAAAAAAUCCAUGGUUUGGUGAAAACGAGAGAUUUCUAUGUUGGAUAUUGUAAAUUUAGAAUAAAUUCUAAAUUUCUAAAAUACGCUGGUCGUACCCGAGAGCACAGUGCUCCCUCUCGCUGACAGGUGGACCCAGGGCCCACUAUCGGCCUCUUCUUCUACCUCUGGCUCUCUCCUCUUCCUCUCUCCCGCGUGCUUUCCCGCGCUUUCUCCACCGGCGACGUCUAGCGCGUAGGGCAUCUAUGCCGUACUGCGGUAGUGCACGGCGUGCUAGUUGCUGGUGCAGUGUGCACUCACCUCGCGGGCCAGUGCACUAUCGGCACUGCUCGCGGAUUCGCCUCCGAACACCGGCGAUCGAGCGACGAGCGGUGCUGGUGGACCUCGCCCACCGUACACCCAUCUCGAGCUAUAAAAUGAUCGCGGUGCUCCUUUCUUCUUCCUCACACCUGGCCUCGCUUCUCCUUCUCCUUCCUUCUCCUCCAUUUCUGUUUGCAGGAGCUCGAGACGAGGCUCUAAUGGUGGAGGUGAUGCCGGACUGGUACGUUGUCCUGAUGUGCGGAGGGUUGGCGACGUUGUUGUGGUUCUCCGUGCUCCUGUGCGUGCUGAUCCUCGAUGAUCGUCGUGAUGCUGCCGCUCGAGUGUUAGCCAUUCGCGGUGGCGGUGAUCAUGAGAAUUAAGUGCGGUGUCGGGCACUAACUGUUGUCAGUGUGUUGGAGGCAGCUUGUACCCGAGUGAUUACCCACUAACCUCUCCUUCAGUGGUGAUCAGUUAGGUGUAACAUGUGUAUGUCCAUUAGCAAUUAGUGCAUGAGGUCGAGUGGUUGCGGUUGUGAGUCUGCUGUGGUGUUGCAUGAAUAAAAAUCUACGUCAUGAAGAGAUAUAUGCCGCAACGAUUCCGGGAAAAAAUCUCACUUUAGAAUUACCGAGAGUGAAAACAGUUAAUCACAAUUAACAGCAGUACAAACUACUCACAUUAAUUGAAACAAAAAAAAUAAUCCAUCGCACAAUUUUAGGAUACCACGCAUAAGUUGCAACACAUAAAUAAAUGCUGGGAUAAUUAACAUAGCGGUGACGUCUACAAUGAAAACGGUAAAUGGAUAGGGUCCUGAGAAAACGUCUCUGGUACUAGGGCACACUCCUCUUCUAUCGAGGGAAGCGGAUUGACUAGCCGAUGAAUGCGUCUCUCCUGGUCGGGCCUCAGUGGUCUGCCAAUAGCGAUCUGAGGAUUUAAAUCAGCGAGGCUCUGGAGAUAACCCAUUACCCGCUGAGUCAAACGCUCUUGAGCGAUAACAUACUGGGCAAGGUUGGCCAGUACCGGGUCUCUCUCAAUUCGUCCACCGGGAAAAGAUGCUACUUCUCUGGGUGCUGCACGACUCGGGAAGUAAUAAUACCCUCGUUCGCUGGCAUAGGGUACCGCGAAUCGAAGACGAGCAAGCGCUUCGUACGCAGCAGCUUCUAUGGCCAUUUGCGGAGUCGGCAUGGAUUUCCCCACGAAGGAGACUUCCGUUGGGUCUUGGUUUGGGUUUGUGGGAGGGAUGUGCACCACUACCCAAUAUUUCGAGGUGGAUGGGGUGAUCCUCGAUUUGAGCAACUCGUACUGGGGUGGAUGGAUGGCACUCAUGGUACUGCAGGUAAAGUCCCACAAUAUUUUGACAAAACUACCUAGGGUGGCAUCUGGAGUUCUCAGAUAAAUACUGGGGCUUGGCAUGGCAAAGGAAUGGCUGCGAGAGUUAUGCACAAGGUGAGAGAUACUUGGCAAGGUCACGAGGUGGCCUUUUAUAUAGCAUCUGGGCGGGGUCAUUAUCGCAGUGAAAGGUAACUCGUUUGUCGGUUCUGCUCUUAUGGGGGUUGGGGUCAAAGCUACAUAUAUACAUAUCUCACAAAGUGACGCAUUACUGUGGGUGUCGUCGGGGUGGUUUUGGUAGCUGCGCCCGGAAUUUAAAAAUGCAACUGUACGCUGACGUACUUAUGCAUGGCUACUAUUCAAAAAUAGGGGCGCACAAGCAGACAACAUUUAAUUAUGGUGAUACAGGAUCACACAAUUACAAGGCGUAGAAAUACUAAGGCUCGGUACUACUCGAGUGACGUAGUCUACUUCGUUAAUAUCUAAGCGGGCUUGCCUUGUGGACGUCGAGGCUUCUCCACGGGUUUCACUGUCGGGAUUAGCUGGAUGAGGUUGAGGGGCUGCAGGGUCGGGGUAGCGAUGAUGACCAUUGCGGGGGUUGUUGGCCACAAUCCCGUUGGAGCGUGUUCCCAAAAGGCGACGAAGCACUUCUGGGGACACCAAAGCAUUUUGGCCGAUGGCUGGGGAAGUCCUCAAGGACUCGAUCGGUUGUCCGAACAGCACGACUGGGUUGUCGGCGUCGGGCUCAUCUUCUCUUCUUGCUGGGGCUCGGCGAACCACUUCUCCACGAGCUGCGACCAGAUCAAGGGUGAUCUGAUCGAACAGUUCCUCUAGUGCACUUACAUAGCGCACCAGAUGCAACAAUGCAGGAUCCGUCUCGUGAUCUCUGUUGGCAACAUGGGGCGGCCUACCAUACCCGUCACGGCUAGGGUAGUAGUAGAACGAGCGACAAUUAACUCUGGGCGACAUGUGCCGGAGUUGAACUAUAGCCUCUCGAGCUGCUAGUUGGAUGGCUUGUGGCUCAAAGGAAGUUGUCCUUCCAGUGAACCUGUAGGGGCGCUCUGGCGAUAGACCCCUACCAUAGAUGUGUACAGUGGCCCAGAAUUGACGGCUCUCACCGCUCAUGGGUCCUUGGUACACAACAUAUUUUGGGGGCUCUUCUAAUGCAUAGGCACGGCGGGUGAGGUUUGCGAGCACGGUCACAAAACCUCCAAGGUUGGUUGCUGUGGUCUCAUUGUGAACAAUGGGUCCAGGCAUUUUAGCUUGGUUUGGGGUAGAGGCUGUGCUGUGCUGGGAUGAGGCUAGCGUGCCCUUUUUAUAGAAAAAGGGGACGGAGUCUUCCUUCGCACGCUUGCGAAUGAGACAUUUUAGGUGUCGGUCACUGGCGCGUGAUCGACGAGCUAGGCUGAUAGGUUGGGCACCGACUGCCAAAAGCGUCGGGGUCACUGUGUGGCUAUCUUACAGGAGAAGCUUGGCCAGGGUUAGGUUAAGGUCUGGUGGGUUUGUUAACCUAGGUUUUUCGACCUAGCUAAGAUAGGAUUUAGCCAAUGGUCAGCCUGGCUCUGAUACCAAGUUUGUCAGGACCGGGUUUUUCGGGAUAUAUUUUCCCAGAAAAUGAUCCUUGUGCUCAUUAGCCCUAGGAUUACUGUUAGCUGAUGAGGCACCAACUUGAUACAGAAAUUCCAAGCAACAUACAUAAUAUGUAGUACAAGACCAUUGUGGCCUAUGAGUACAACAAAUGGUUUCUAGUGGCUGAUGGCGGAAGCAGUUUGUUGUUCAUCUGUGUCUAUGGGACUCCAUUUCCCACAGGAACAGCUGACCAGGAUAACUCCUAUCUUUGCGAGGCUGCUACCAUCAUUGCGUAGGUUCCGGGCUGUCGUCACAAUGCUCCUCUCCACGCAAGAAAUCUGGCCAAGACAAUAGCCAGGGACAAGCCAGUGAGUACUUUUGAAUGUACUCGCAAACAUUAUGAACACAGGUAUAAUAUGACAGAUGAUAAUUACGCUCCGAAAUAUGCCAUGAUCACUACGUCAGUCAUGAAAUAAAAUUUAUGAUGCACGUAAGCAAGUUAUUCAUAUACGACAUGAAUGUGCAAUAAGGGAGUAGAAAUAGAAUGCACCGAUCGGGUGUCUGAAGCGACGCCUCGAAAGGAUAAUAAGAUAAAUCAUGCCUCAGUCGGGCGUCUGAGCGACACCACAUAAAGGGCUUAUAAAUAAAAGAAAUAACAAGCAUGCCACAGUCGGGCGUCUAUGUGACACCACAUAAAGGGCUUAUAAAUAAUAGAAAUAACAAGCUUGCCACAGUCAGGCGUCUGUGCGACACCACAUAAAGGGCUUAUAAAUAAUUUAAAUAACAAGCAUGCCACAGUCGGGCGUCUGAGCGACACCACAUAAAGGGCUUAUAAAUAAAAGAAAUAACAAGCAUGCCACAGUCGGGCGUCUGAGCGACACCACAUAAAGGGCUUAUAAGUAGUUUAAAUAACAAGCAUGCCACAGUCGGGCGUCUGAGGGACGCCACAUAAAGGGCUUAUAAGAGAAUGAUUAUAGUGAAUAUCCAGGAGGUAGAACCGUCCCAGGGAUACUCGAUAAUUCAAAUAAUAUAAUGGGUUAGUCCAUAAUAAUAAUAAUCAUAAUCAUCACAAGUCACAAGUCAUGAUCCAAGUUCUGGUUUAAUAGUUUUCUCCUCCGAAGACCGACACUAAGACCGACACUUGACCCAUCCCAGACUGUAGUCCUUACCCAUGGACACAGCUAUUCGAAUAGAUGUAUAAUUUCUGCAGAGGGUGUACUCUUUACCCACGGGUAACGGAUUUCUUUAGUCCAUCGGGACUAAUUCCGUCUACGGUCUUUUAAUUGAAAACACACCUAACCGCACACACCAGCCUAACUUACCGGUGUCUGGAAUCACCCACGACACCCGUUAAGUGAAACAAUAAGUGGGGAGGCUACAACCUUGACUUAGCAUGGGAUCACAAAAUUUAUACCGCGUGCAAACUAGGGGAGCUACCCCUUCGGCUACAACCGAAACACCCAUGCCCUCGGACCAGGUGGCAUGCCUACCGGAUGCCUCCGGUAUCUUCCACCAUGGCCUCUCUGUACGGUGUGUGCUAGGUAAGGGGUUGACAACUUACUGAACCGUACCCUACCUAUGGCAGGGACAAGUGGUAGUACGAAACAAGUAUGGGGGUUACUGGAACAAGACUCGAUCUACGGCCGACUCAGGAGGUUUAAGUAUUCCCUGCAUGAUUAGCAUAGUAAAUGUGUUUCAACCAACAGACAGAAUCACCACUCAUCAUACCUCAUCAUGCCAUACCGGACACAACCGUCUUGACGAGGAACUAGAGACAAGCUCGUGUCUACCCAAGACAGAGACUUUCCCGGCUUCCUUCCGAUAGGCAUGAAAGGCAUACGAAGAUGAUUACUAUAACAAGCAUAUCCAUUUCUAACAGCAAAGAAUCUUCAUUAUGCACUCAUGCGUAUGAUUGUAUCGUCACAUAAAAUAACGAAUGCUCCAUGUCAAGGUGGUGUUGUAACUGUAUCUAACAACACACAAAAAUAUUAUGCCAGGGUUCAGAAUGCUUGCCUUCAAGUUGUGGAGAGGCAAGGUGCAUCCCAAAAACUUUUUGAAAGUUUUCUUCUCUCUCCAAAAUCCUAUUUUCAAAAAUAUUCAAAUAACACAUACUUUAAAAACAGCGCAAAAGGUUGUCCUAGAUAUUUUUGAAAUAAAUCUUAAAAUAAACUAGGUGGAAUUUGAGAGAGGUAGGAAAAAGAAUUAAUUCAUUUGGAGUUUUAUUUAAAAAGAUAUAGCCAGUCAAAGUUUCAGUCGAAAUCUGAUUUUAAAAUAAAACAGAAAAAAAACGUUUCGGACGAAAUACGCUUUCGAGAGGGGGACACGUACUUCAGGCUUUACGCCUCCACUUAACCCGCGCGGGCCCACCCGUGGGUCACUGACAGUGGGCCCCUUGGGUCCACUGGUCAGGUUUGACCAGUCAUCCCCGCCUUUCUCUCUUCUGGCCGAACGGAGGCGGAGCUCCGGGGAUCGCCGUCGGCGAACGGAGGCUCCUCGCGGGGUUCUGAUGGCAGGGAUGGAUCCGCCAGACUAGGGCGGUCCUCCCGGUGGUUGCUAGGCUGGCGGGUGUGGAGGGGGUCGCCGUCGGCGAGCUCCACGGCGGACGGUGGUUCUGGUGGAUUUGGGCUUCGAGCUAUGGUGGCUCCCGAUCGAGGCUGAGGUGCUGGGUAGCUCCGCAUGGUCGAGGGGAGGAGGAUGGGAGCACGGGAGGGGGGUUAGGGCCUCAGUCUUGGCCGGAUUCCACAGGAGUGUGGCGGCGGCCGAACCGGCCGGAGACGAGGAAGAAGGCCUCUCCCCAUCGAUUGCCGGCUAAGGGAGCCCUAAGGGGAUGGCUUGAGGUUGCCUGGGGUCUUGGAGGAGCUCGGGGUCCGUUAUAUAGGCAGUCGAGGUCGGUUCCGCGGCGGGCGGAGAUAAGAUCGGCGAACCAACGUUCAGUAGCCUGCAGGACGACAUGGCAGCAACGGGCGCUAGUGGACGAGCUCGCGGAUAAGCUUGGACUGCUCCAGAGGCGAGCUGGCGAGCGGCUGUGGCUUGGGCGGCGCCGUCCAUGGCAGGGGCGUGCCGCCGACGCCGGCGUGCCGCAAAGGGGGCUCUGACGGCGGCGCUGUCGGGCGCCAGGGGGAAGCUUGGAGCGCUCUGAUGUGUGGACAAGGACGGGCGUGGCUCUCAGGCGAGCAAGGGCCAGGGGCGGGACGCGGUGGCUCGGGUGCACGCACGUGCAAAACGCGCUCUGGCCGCGCCUAGAGCACGCACGCCAGGUGCUCGACGUAAUGACAACGCAUGAUAGAGGGCUCCAAUCCACAGGGCGUUUAAUAGUGUGGAGCUAUAGACUAGUGUAGAGCCCUGAGACAUGCUGGUUAGGCAAAGCAAGCAGGUUCCUAAUGCAAACUAGAAAUUAUGCCAAAUCUGGCCAUGCACUUAAAGUGCUCGACAGAAUGUUAUGGGCUUCUAGGCAUCUCUUGGGGUGGCCAUAAACUCCAGAUCCUAGUCUCUUUAGAUGAUAGAGAGGGUGGCAAUGUUAGUUGGGCAAAACCAGAAACUUGUUAGUGCAAGUUUUUGAGAAAACCAAAUCUGGGCAGAAACUGAAGGCUAUAAUUGCAUGAACCAAAAAUACUCCAAUGGGUCCACUCUCCUGGACUUAAGGGUUUUGCAGGGUGGACUAUAAGCAGGAAAAAGAAUCAUGGGCAACAGAGCAAACAAAAAUAGAGUUGCAGUAGAAAAUGCCAAACUGGACCAGAGAGCAAAAGAGGAUGAUUUGCUCAAAUUUUUCAAAGAACACUCAUGGGUUUUUGCAUAAAGUAGAAUUAUAUGCAUCUACUGACAUCUCCAAACACUUGGAAGAAUUUCUAAAGAAAUAUUUAAAUAGGUUGUAGUGCAAAAUUAUCAACUGGACCAGAUUUGAAAAUUUGGUGUAGAGCUCAAAAUCUCCAAUGACCAAAAGAUAUUUUUGCAUAAAAGUGAUGUGGAAACAUCACAUGACAUCCCCAAAUUUUGGUUGAAAUUUUAAAGAAGUAUUUGAAAGGGUUACAGUGCAAAAGAGGCUCCAUAACUUAUGAAAAAUCAUUUUUAGAAGAAUAAAGCUCAGGAAAAACAAUUAUGCAAAUAAACACACUGAUAAAAGAAAUGUUUUCUUGAGAGGGUAUACAAGUCCAAUAAUAUUUUUGGAGGGUUUUCACUUGGGGUAAAAACUUCACAAUAUCAAAGAAAAGAGAGGUUCUGAAAUGAAAAGAUAAAUCCAAAAAAUAAAAAUUUAAUCUCCUGGCAAAAUUUUAAUAAACAAAAUAUGGUUAAAUUUUUGGGGUGUUACAAUGCCCAGCAAGGAAGCCAACAACCCAAGGAGCCAAGAUAACCACCAGGAAGCCCCUGGAUUUGUUUGAAGUCUUUUGUUUACGUUGCAAAGGAGUAGGAAAUUUUCCCAAAGAAUGUUCAGACCGAGGAAAGCUUGAGCAGAGUUGUUGAGAUCUUGAUAUUGGAAUAAAGCAUGUAAUAAAUGUGGAACACACUUUUAUUUUCAUUGUGGAUGUUGAGUUGAGUCAUGAAAUGGAAAAUGUAAUAGUUCGUGAAGCAAUAAAAGUUGAUAUGUUUGGAAUCUCAUAGGAAAUGUUAUGAGUUGUUUUGUUGAUUGUGAGUACCUCUCUCACUGUCUCAGCCAGACUAAAACCUUGAACCCAUGGACAAGCUGACCCCAAAAAAUUUCCAGAAAAACCACAUUUCACCCAAGGAAAUACAUACAGUAUCCUGAGUACCCCUUCUAUAUUAUACCUGCAGAUGACAACCCUUUACGAGUCUUUUCUCAAGGGCCCGGAAACGAUCAUGACCCUGACUAGUGAUCAGGAUUACCCGAAGAUCCUGAAGGACAUGAUGAAGCAUAUUCAUCUUGAAGGAGAUGCAGUCUACAAUGGUUAUCCUUUCAUGGAGAAUGGAGUUGAACUUUGGUACGUGGAGGUACACCUCCACCGUGUGAAGGGAGUUUGCCCAAAGACUAUGGGGCAAUACUUUUUCAUUUCUCGAGUACCACGAGCAACAUUCUUCGACUUUGUUCAUGAAGCUACUAUGGAAGCCAUACAUCAGAUUGGAGAAAUACUAGAAGCAAGACUCCGUCACACUCAGGAAUACCUGAGGGAAGUGCAUGCAGAGAUGAUGGAGAUGAAACUCAUGGCCACCAUGAUGAAGCAGAAGAUCAAUGAUUUCAAGGAUCACAUCGAACAAUUCUAGUGAUAUUGAAGCAUCUUCAAGUAGGGCAAAUGAAUAAAGAUGGAAGUAAUGCUUGACCUUACCAAACUAUGUGGAUGGCAACAUUUGUAAUAAAGUACUUUUGGAACCUGAGUUUUGAGUAGUGGUUAAGGAUGUAAUAAAGGAUUUAAUAUGAAGAGAAUAUGAAUUAUGGAUGAACCAUUACAUUUUGUUUUAAUGGUAAAACCCUGUGUGAACACUAGAUCGAUGGAAAGGAAAAUGUUGUUCCAUAGGUGCAGUUUGGACAAAAUAAGUUGGAGUUUUGUUUUAGUUAUGAUGGUUACCCCAAGAGUAUGAGGGAAUGAAGUACUAUUGGAUUUAAAGGAGAUGAAAUGUUGGAAUAAGGAACAAUAGUAACUCCAAGUAUGAGUUAAAGAUAUACAAGUGUUGAAGUGGGCCAUAACCCACAGGACCGGGAUUUAAAAAGAAGCAAGCACAGCCUUGUUGCAGGAAGAAUUCUGGAAGAAGCUGUGAUUUCAUCAGCAGACGUUCCAUAGGAGGUUACGUAAACCCAAGAGUUGUGAAGAAACGAUAGAGGUUUUGUUUGGCUUGCAGAACCAAUGGAUUACCCGAACCCAGUUCGUGGAGAAGAGAAGUUCUGCAAUGCUUGUGAGGAUGCCCAAGUGUUAGAAUACGUGAUUCACUAUCUAUGUAUGUGGUAAUGAUUCGAGUACGGGAUGGAUUGGCCCCCAUACCGGAGACUUAUAUCAUGAGCUAUCAUAUGUUGAUGGAAAAUCAGAGAGCCUUAAAAACUUAGAAGAGUGUCGACACGACAAAACAAAAGCCUUAGAACGGCAGGACGAUGAAAACCAUGUAUAGGCACCCGUUGCCAAUCGUAGGUUAUACGGUGAGAUUUAACCCAGACCCAUUUCCUGCAGGAGGAAUUAAAAUAAUUGUUGACCACCAUGAGAUUUUCGAUAGUUGUUUAGCAUUGGCGCCAGACCUGUCGAGUCUCAGAAAGAUCUUAUUUUGGUGCAAGGACUCAAGAUUUUGAGGAAAAGUUUAUGCCCUUACCGGAAGAGCACCAGUGAAGGAGUUAUCCCGGAGAAUAUGAGAAGAUCGACACUAUCAACCCAAAGGACGGAGUACAUGAAUUCUGUUGGAACCAUAACCAUACUUCUAAGGGUGGUAGCACCUUAUACCUUGUGAUGAUUAAUGUAUUUUCAAGGAGACCCCCAAACCCUAACCUUUUCUUGCUAGCCUCUUCGAAUCUCGAGGACGAGAUUCAUUUUAAGUGUGGUAGUUUUGUAACAUCCCAAAAUUCUAAAAUUUGGAAUGUUAUAUUAAAUAAAUAUUUGUGUUUGUUUGAUUGAUUGAAUGGUUGAUUGAUUGACUGAAAGUGAGUGAAAUUUGAAACAUUUUGAAAGUUGAACGAGAGGGAAUAAAAGGACUUCCCCAAAACUUUCAUCUUUGCAUUAUGAUCUUCAUGAAUUCAAAUUCAUUUUAUCACAAAACCCUAGAGUGAGGAUAAUAUGACUUCUUUCAUUUAAAAAAAUGAAAAGGGUUUUGAAAAGACUUCAAUUCCAUUUGGACAUAUUUCAAAUUCCGAAGCUUUAUGCAACUCAAUGAUUUUCAUGAGAGAAGAUAAAAUGACUUCUUCAAAUUAUAUGAAAUAGAGUUGGAAGUGGUUUGAAAUUCAAAUUCAAAACCAUUUAGGAGUUAUUUGGGUUUUAUUCAAAUAAUUUUUUUCCAAAAAUAAAUUAUUUGGAAAUUAGGGUAAAAUGAUUCCCUACAAUAUAAAAUUGGAGGAAAGUAAAUUUGAAAUCAUUCUGGUGUUUUAAAAAUGAUUUUUAUUGGGUUUUCUUUCAACAACAGCAUUGUUUGACUUUUGUGAAUUUUUGUGUACUUUAUUUGUACAUGAAAAUAUGUUCAUGUUUUAGGAUUUAUUUUUAUGAAAAUUUUGGUAUAUAAUAUGUCUAUAUAAAAGUCUUAUUGUUUUCCCUUUAUUUUCUUGUCUGUGCUUAUUUGAAAAAGAAAUGGCCGAAGCCAGCAGUGCCUAGCCUGAGGCCCAUCACUCUCUCCCUCCGCCGCGGCCCACAGCAGUCCAGCCCACGCACGCGCCCGAAACCCCUCCCCACCGGUCGCCCACACCUCUCCCUGUUCCGGCACUCGCUGACAGCGGGGCCCGCGUCGCCUUCUUCCUCCGCAAGCCCCGCUCGAGCCAGAUCGCACCGGCCGCGCCGCCGAAUCCCGUGAUCCUCGGGAUCCUCUCCCCGACUCACCCCCUCCUCCAAGAAUUGCUCCCCCCUAUAUAUACUCUCCCCCUCAACCCGUUCCCCUCCUUUCCUCGCAACAAUAACCGCCGCCUGCUCCUCAACUUCUCGCCAGAGCCGAAGCCGCCGCCGCACCAUUGCCGCCCCACCGAGCUACUCCGACCCCCUCGUCGCCUCCCGAGACCAUCUCUGCACUCCCCUCGCUCGUCCGCACUUCCCAUGCCCUCGCCCGAGCCCUAUACCCACUGGAGCGCCGCCAGCCGACGACCACCGUACGCCCUCGCCGCCACGAGCUCACCGCCGCCCGUCUCCGUCGUCCCCGAGCGCACUGGCGACCAUCGUUGGAACUGCCUUCGACCGCUGCAUCCCCUUGUCUCCUCCGCCGACCCCGCCGACGACGUCCGAGCCACAUCGCCGGCGACCACCCCACUGUAAGCCGGCCAACUCCCCACCUUCGUUUGAUCUUAUUUCAACGCUCUAGAUUAGAUCUAUCGAAUGGUAUGGUUUUUCUAUAUAGAUCGGUUUAGUACGGUUUAUUAUCUGUUUAGAUCGAACCGUCUCGCCGGUUUCUUUUUAUUAAACGCGCAUGCACGGUUUUGUUAAGUAUCGCCCAAGCGCAGUAUAGUUGUAGAUCGCGCAUCCUCUAGGCCCAGUAGUAGCCUGACGCGUAGCACCUGUCCGAUCUGUUAUUUAGUUUUUGUUCGUUUCUGUUUUUAAAAAUAGAAAAGUUCCAAUCUUGAAAAAAUUAUAUCUCUUAGGUUAUUUAGAGUUUUUGAUUGAUUAUUUUUGCUCGAGUCUGCAAAUUUCAGAAAGUUUCUGUAUAAAAUAAUUUUGGCCAUGUUUUAGUUUUAAAAUAUUGUUUUAUUUUGGUUUUAGUCAGAUUAGUGUUUCUGCUAUAAAAUGAGCUAGGAUUAACUUUUUUGUGAUUCUUUUUGCCACGACUUUGUUUUGACCUUACCUGUCAGUAGAAUUAAUUUGGGUGUUUAUAGAUUUUAUUAAAAUUAGUUUUUCACGAAAACAACACUGCACUAGUUAUUUUUAACUUGUUGUUUUCUGUUGUUUUGAUUAUUUUAAAAUUUAUUUUCUCCUUUGUUAAAAAAAAUUCAGAUUUGUUUCUGUAGUUAUAGAGGGUGAACUUUUAUGUAUAGAAAAAUAAAAUGUUUUAUUUCUUUUUCUUACUAGUUUUGUUUUAAGCAUAAUUAGAGUUUUAAUUUAGCUUUUUAUGUGUUUCCUUUUGCUAGUAAAACUUUAUGAAAAAUACUUUCUGUUAACUUAGUUGAUUUAAAUUUUAUUUUCUGUUAAAAUUAUUAGUUUAGUAUUUUCUUUGUUAAGUUUUACUUAGGACAAAACUAUUUUUGUAGUUAAGGCAAAAGGUUUUUCCCAGUAGGUUCUUUAUAGUUUUCCCCUAUUAGUUCUUUCGAUGUGUUAUUUGUUUUGUAUUGGGUUUUCUUAUUGAGUUUUUUUUAUUGUUAGAUGUGCUUGCUAGAAUGCUUGCUUAUGUGAAUGUCAUGUUUGUUAUUAUAGAUUUCAUCGGAGAGUUGCGUAUAGUCCUAUCAAGUUAUUUUCGAGAGCGUUGUUAUCUUCAUCAACUUACCAGGCAAGUUCACUUUGACCAUGUUUUUCAUACCUAUGUUUUAUUUGCAUGUAGUGGCACCCUUUCAACAAUCCUCCCAAUAGUGUUAUUGAAUCUUGUAGUUGAGUAGAAUGCAUGAGGUAGGAAUCCAUCUUUCUGUUAUCAAGCCCGGGACAUUAGUUUCAAUGCUACGCUAUAGUAGACGGGGUUUGGUAUGAGUGCACGAGAGUGGUGUGAAGAAGGAGGACUCUACGUCAAUGGCGACAACUUCAUGAUGGCAUCAGCAAGGACUGCAUCUUCAGGACUCCAAGACCUCAAGAUUUCGAGACUCGAGACAAGAAUUCAAUACACACUACUGGGUGAAGGACGGUUGACGGGCACCCUGGAGAAACCAGUGGAUGGCCGGGUUGCAUGGAGAAGCGCCAUGACAUCUUGCGGAAAGCUUCACCCAGACUCAAAGAGACGGAAGAAUACUUCAUGCCUGGAAGCUUACCUGUGCAACCGCAAGUCACUAUGGGCUCUGGCUUGGUUGACCUUAGUGGUGACUCUGGCUGGGACGGUGCUAGCAAAUGUAGAACUACGGAAGGAUUGGAUGAGCACCGGACAGUGGUCAGGGGAACUCUUCGGAAGACCAUGUUUCGGUCGUCUUGUUCUCAAACACCCUAAAGUGCGAGAAUGUAAAAAGAGGGAUCGAAUCUUGCGGGUAAAGUGUACAAACCUCUGCAGGGGUUUAAACAUAAUCAAUUAGCCGUGUCCCCGGUUACGGACAAUUUGAGCCUCUGGACUUGGAUCUAUCUCGGAACUCUCAACACCGGACUGAUAACAUAAUUGUGGGCAACUUAUGAUGAUUUUGGGCUAUGAGACAUCGGUUGGCGGAACCAUGUCAUGAUAGAAAACUCUGUAGCACAGACUCCUGAUAUUCCUUUGUUAUAGGAAAAUAAAACCAGCUUUUACGCAAACAAAACUCAGAUACAGAGCCACAAAGCCGUAUUGCAUAUAGUAUAGUUUAUCAUCUGUUUUUAUUAAAGUGAUCUUGUCGGUACAUUCAAUGUACUGACCUACACGGCUGCAACGUAUCAUGUUGCAGGAUUAUUUCUACAACGAGUGAGUUUCAUUGAUUGGGUUACGGUCUACACUCAACCUGCCGAUGGCGUUGAUGGGACUCCACACGCGAUUGUUUGUUUCCGCUGAGACUUAUGAGGUAUAUAUCAGUUUUACGUUAUUUAUACAUGUGAUUGCACUUUGAUAUAUACAUUGAUGUACUGUGUGUGCCAGCAUACCGAUCCAGGGAUGGCACAGAUACACAGAGGCUUGACCGUUUGAGGUCGGGUCGCUACACCAUCGUUUACGGCUAGGACUACUGGGGUCUCUAAUCCCGUUUGCUCCCCUAGCUUUCGUCUCUCAGUGUUAGUGCCGGCCAGCAGAGUGCUUUCGCCGUUGGUGUUCUUUCCGAUCUCAAUGCAUUUCACCGCUCCACCGGAAAUUCCCUCUACCCCUACCGUACUCCAGCUUGGUAGUUUCCACCGCCUGUCCAGGGUUGAGCACUGGUAUUUGACGGCGGACUUGAAAAGCCACCUACAGACGCUUUACGCCCAAUCAUUCCGGAUAACGCUUGCAUCCUCUGUUUUACCGCGGCUGCUGGCACAGAGUUAGCCGAUGCUUAUUCCUCAGAUACCGUCAUUAUUUCUUCUUCGAGAACAGAAGUUGACGACCCGUAGGCCUUCCACCUCCACGCGGCAUUGCUCCGUCAGGCUUUCGACCAUUGCGGAAAAUUCCCCACUGCUGCCUCCAGUAGGAGUCUAGGCCGUGUCUCAGUCCCAGUGUGGCUGAUCAUCUUCUCGGACCAGCUACUGAUCAUCGCCUUGGUAAGCUAUUACCUCACCAACUAGCUAAUCAGACGCGAGCCCCUCCUCGGGCGGAUUUCUCCUUUUGCUCCUCAGCCUACGGGGUAUUAGCAACCGUUCCAGUUGUUGUUCCCCUCCCAAGGGCAGGUUCUUAUGCGUUACUCACCCGUUCGCCACUUGAAACACCACUUCCCAUUUGACUUGCAUGUGUUAAGCAUGCCGCCAGCGUUCAUCCUGAGCCAGGAUCGAACCCUCCAUGAGAUUCAUAGUUGCAUUACUUAUAGCUUCCUUAUUCGUAAACAAAGCAGAUUCAGAAUUGUCUUUCCUUCCGAGAAUAACUUGUAUCCAUGCGCUUCAGAUUAUUAGCCUAGAGUUCGCCACCAGAAGUAUAGCCAACCCUACCCUAUGACGUCAAUCCCACAAGCCUCUUAUCCAUUCCCGUUCGUUCGUGGCGGGGGAGUAAGUCAAAAUAGAAAAAACUCACAUUGGGUUUAGGGAUAAUCAGGCUCGAACUGAUGACUUCCACCAUGUCAAGGUGACACUCUACCGCUGAGUUAUAUCCCUUCCCCGUCCCAUCGAGAUAGAGAAUUAACGAAUCCUAAGGCAAAGAGGCGAGAAACUCAAGGCCACUCUUCCUCCGGGCUGUCUUUUCGCACUAUUAUGGAUAGUCAAAUAAUGGGAAAAAUUGGAUUCAAUUGUCAACUGGUCCUAUCGAAAUUAGGAUUGACUAUGGAUUCGAGCCAUCGCACAUGGUUUCAUAAAAUCUGUACGAUUUUCCCGAUCUAAAUCGAGCAGGUUUCCAUGAAGAAGAUCUUGUUCAGCACGUUCUAUUCGAUACUGGUAGGAGAAGAACCCAACUCGGUAUUCUUAAAAAAAGAGGGGAAGCAGAACCAAGUCAAGAUGAUAUGGGUCGCCCCUUCUUCUUGCGCCAAAGAUCUUACCAUUUCCGAAGGAACUGGGGCUACAUUUCUUUUCAAUUUCCAUUCAAGAGUUUCUAUCUGUUUCCACGCCCUUUUCUUGAGACAUCGAAACAUGAGGACAAAUUACUUCUCUUAGAAACACAUACAAGAAAAAGGAUAACGGUAGCCCUCCCAUUAACUACUUCAUUUUCAUUUAUGAAUUUCAUAGUAAUAGAAAUCCAUGUCCUACCGAGACAGAAUUUAGAACUUGCUAUCCUCUUGCCUAAUAGGCAAUGAUUGACCUCUGUAGAAAGACUGAUUCAUUCGGAACGAUAUGAGGACCCAACUCCGUUGCAUUGCCAGAAUCCAUGUUCCAUAUUUGAAGCGGGUUGACCUCUGUGCUUCUCUCAUGGUACAAUCCUCUUCCUACUGAGCCCCCUUUCUCCUCGGUCCACAGAGAAAAAAAUGUAGGACUGGUGCCGACAGUUCAUCACGGAAGAAAGAACUCACAGAGCCGGGAUCGGUAACUAAUAGUACUACUAACUAAUACUAAUAUAUAAAAAUAGAUAUCUAGAAAUAGAAAUGAACUAAUAUAUAGAUAAUCAAAAUCGGAAAGAACUAUCUUUUCUGUAUACUUUCGCCGUUCUAUUGCUACCGUGGGUCUUAUGCAAUCGAUCGGAUUAUAUAGAUAUCCCUUCAACAUAACAUAGGUCAUCGAAAAGAUCUCGGACGACUCACCAAAGCAUGAAAGCCAGUUAGAAAAUGGAUUCCUAUUUGAAGAGUAUCUAACCGCAUGGAUAAGCUCACAUUAACCCGUCAAUUUUGUAUCCAAUUCGGGAUUUUUCUUGGGAAGUUUCAGGAAGAAAUUGGAAUGGAAUAAUAUAGAUUCAUACAGAGGAAAAGGUUCUCUAUUGAUGCAAACGAUGUACCUAGAGGAUAGGGAUAGAGGAAGAGGGAAAAUCGAAAUGAAAUAAAUAAAGAAUAAAGCCAAAAAAAAUAAGUCGAAGAUAGAAGAGCCCAGAUUCCAAAUGAAGAAAUGGAAACUCGAAAAGGAUCCUUCUGAUUCUCAGAGAAUGAGGGGCAAGGGGAUUGAUACCGAGAAAUAUUUCUUCUUAUUAUAAGUUGUGAUUUGAUCUGCAUAUGUUUGGUAAAAGAACAAUCUUCUCCUUUAAUCAUAUCAUAAAUGGAAAGUGUUCAAUUAGAACAUGAAAACAUGACUCAAUUGGUCUUAGCUAGUCUUCGGGACGGAGUGGAAGAAGGGCGGAGACUCUCGAACAAGGAAAAGGAUCCCUUCGAAAGAAUUGACCGAGGAGCCGUAUGAGGUGAAAAUAUCAUGUACGGUUCUGUAAAGGGACAUUAAGGGUGACUUAUCUGUCGACUUUUCCACUAUCAACCCCAAAAAACCCAACUCUGCCUUACGUAAAGUUGCCAGAGUAUGAUUAACCUCUCAAUUUGAAAUCACUGCUUAUAUACCUGGUAUUGGCCAUAAUUUACAAUAACAUUCUGUAGUAUUAGUAAGAGGAGGAAGGGUUAAGGAUUUACCCGGUGUGAGAUAUCGCAUUAUUCGAGGAACCCUAGAUGUUGUCGCAGUAAAGAAUCGUCAACAAGGGCAUUCUAGUACGUUGUAGAUUCUUAUCCAAGACUUGUAUCAUUUGAUGAUGCCAUGUGAAUCGCUUGAAAUAUGUGAAGUGUAUGGCUAACCCAAUAAUGAAAGUUUUGUAAGGGGACUAGAGCAGGCUACCAUGAGACAAAAGAUCCUCUUUCUAAAGAGAUUUGAUUCGGAACUCUUACAUGUCCAAGGUCAAUAUGGAAAUUCUUUCAGAGGUUUUCCCUUACUUUGUCCGUGUCAACAAAAAUUUCGAAAUACCUCGACUUUUUUAGAACAGGUCCGAGUCAAAUAACAAUGAUUCGAAGCACUUCUUUUCCCAUUACACUAUUUCGGAAACCUAAGGACUCGAUCGUAUGGAUAUGCAAAAUACAGGAUUUCCGAUCCUAGCGGGAAAAGGAGGGAAACAGAUACUCAAUUUAAAGUGAGUAAACAGAAUUCCAUACUUGAUCUCAUAGAUCCCUAUAGAAUUUUGUGGAAAGCCGUAUUCGAUGAAAGUCGUAUGUACGGCUUGGAGGGAGAUCUUUCCUAUCUUUCGAGAUCCACCCUACAAUAUGGGGUAAAAAAGCCAAAAAAUAAGUGAUUUUAGCUCUUAUAAAAAAGAAAAUGGAUUCUUGAACCUCUUUCACGCUCAUGUCACGUCGAGGUACUGCAGAAAAAAGAACUGCAAAAUCCAAUCCAAUUUUUCGUAAUUGAUUAGUAAACAUGGUGGUUAACCGUAUUAUGAAAGACGGAAAAAAAUCAUUGGCUUAUCAAAUUCUCUAUCGAGCCAUGAAAAAGAUUCAACAAAAGGCAGAAACAAAUCCACUAUUGGUUUUACGUCAAGCAAUACGUAGAGUAACUCCCAAUAUAGGAGUAAAAACAAGACGUAAUAAAAAAGGAUCGACGCGGAAAGUUCCGAUUGAAAUAG
rnacentral:lncRNA from 1 species